rnacentral:rRNA from 4 species
GUGACCUCAAAUCAGGUAGGACUACCCGCUGAACUUAAGCAUAUCAAUAAGCGGAGGAAAAGAAACUAACAAGGAUUCCCCUAGUAACUGCGAGUGAAGCGGGAAAAGCUCAAAUUUAAAAUCUGGCAGUCUCCGGCUGUCCGAGUUGUAAUCUAGAGAAGUGUUAUCCGCGUUGGACCGUGUACAAGUCUCCUGGAAUGGAGCAUCAUAGAGGGUGAGAAUCCCGUCUUUGACACGGACUGCCAGGGCUUUGUGAUGCGCUCUCAAAGAGUCGAGUUGUUUGGGAAUGCAGCUCAAAAUGGGUGGUAAAUUCCAUCUAAAGCUAAAUAUUGGCGAGAGACCGAUAGCGAACAAGUACCGUGAGGGAAAGAUGAAAAGAACUUUGGAAAGAGAGUUAAACAGUACGUGAAAUUGCUGAAAGGGAAACGCUUGAAGUCAGUCGCGUUGAUCAGGGAUCAACCUUGCUUUUGCUUGGUGCACUUUCUGGUUAAUGGGUCAGCAUCAAUUUUGACCAUUGGAAAAAGGUCAGGGGAAUGUGGCAUCUUCAGAUGUGUUUAUAGCCCUUGGUUGCAUACAAUGGUUGGGAUUGAGGAACUCAGCACGCCGAAAGGCCGGGUUGUUU